GUCCCCACCAUGGCCUGCAUGAUGCUUCUCCUUGGGCUCCUUGCUUAUGGGUCAGGGGUGGAUUCUCAGUCUGUGGUGACCCAGGAGCCAUCACUCUCAGGGUCUCCUGGAGGGACGGUCACACUCACCUGUGCCCUGAGCUCUGGCUCAGUCUCUACCAGUCACUACCCCAGGUGGUACCAGCAGACCCCAGGCCAGGCUCCACACAUGCUCAUCUGCAGCCCAAACACCUGCCCUUCUGGGGUCCCUGGUCGCUUCUCUGGCUCCAUCCUUGGGAACAAAGCUGCCCUCACCAUCACGGGGACUCAGUAGAUGAUGACUCUGAUCAUUACUGUGUGCUGUACAUGGGUAGUGGGAUCACUGUCUUCUCAGGUGGAACAGAGAUCACCAGGAGGAGAACACACUUGUAUAAACAUCUCCUCCUCUUUCAGAGCAACAAAGAUAAAAAGAGGCCUGAACCAGCAGCCUUCAUUACAGGCAAGAGUACUGUGUCCACUGUGGCCUGGACAACUGUCUUCUUCAUGCUCCACCAUUAUUGCACAGGUGAGGACAGAAUUUGGUUGUCCAGGGUGAGCUCCUUAGCUUGUCAGCCCCUCUGGCUCAGACCCCCAAGGGACUUCACCCUGGCCCCGCCCCAGCCCCCAUAUGCCUCAGCCAAUGCAGGGAUUCUGCACAUCCUUGGGCUGCAGCCUGAGGACAAGGCUUACUAUUAUUGUUGUAGCAGCUUGCAGGCUUACACAGUGCCCCAGACCCAUGGGGAAGUGAGGCGCUAA